CCCUUCGGGGUGGAUCAGUGGCGAACGGGUGAGUAACACGUGGGAAAUCUGCCCUGCACUCUGGGACAAGCCUUGGAAACGAGGUCUAAUACCGGAUAUGACCUUCCUCUGCAUGGGGGUUGGUGGAAAGCUCCGGCGGUGCAGGAUGAUCCCGCGGCCUAUCAGCUUGUUGGUGGGGUAAUGGCCUACCAAGGCGACGACGGGUAGCCGGCCUGAGAGGGCGACCGGCCACACUGGGACUGAGACACGGCCCAGACUCCUACGGGAGGCAGCAGUGGGGAAUAUUGCACAAUGGGCGAAAGCCUGAUGCAGCGACGCCGCGUGAGGGAUGACGGCCUUCGGGUUGUAAACCUCUUUCAGCAGGGAAGAAGCGCAAGUGACGGUACCUGCAGAAGAAGCACCGGCUAACUACGUGCCAGCAGCCGCGGUAAUACGUAGGGUGCGAGCGUUGUCCGGAAUUAUUGGGCGUAAAGAGCUCGUAGGCGGCCUGUCGCGUCGGAUGUGAAAGCCCGGGGCUUAACCCCGGGUCUGCAUUCGAUACGGGCAGGCUAGAGUGUGGUAGGGGAGAUCGGAAUUCCUGGUGUAGCGGUGAAAUGCGCAGAUAUCAGGAGGAACACCGGUGGCGAAGGCGGAUCUCUGGGCCAUUACUGACGCUGAGGAGCGAAAGCGUGGGGAGCGAACAGGAUUAGAUACCCUGGUAGUCCACGCCGUAAACGUUGGGAACUAGGUGUUG
rnacentral:rRNA from 1 species